GCUCAUUUCGGCAGUGCAUAUACUAAAAUAGGAACGAUACAGAGAUUAGCAUGGUCCCUGUGCAAGGAUGACAUGCAAAUUUGUCAAGCGUUCCAUAUUUAA